AUCCACUCGUUCCCAUCCCGAACACGACCGUUAAGCCCUCCAGCGCCGAUGGUACUUGGACCGCAGGGUCCUGGAAGAGUAGGACGUCGCCAGGC
rnacentral:rRNA from 2 species